AUUGAACGCUGGCGGCAGGCCUAACACAUGCAAGUCGCACGAGUGGCGGACGGGUGAGUAAUGUCUGGGAAACUGCCCGAUGGAGGGGGAUAACUACUGGAAACGGUAGCUAAUACCGCAUACCAUCUGAUGUUCCCCGAAGGGAUUAGAUUGUAGGUGGGGUAACGGCUCACCUAGGCGACGAUCCCUAGCUGGUCCGCGAGGAUGACCAGCCACACUGGAACGGAGGCACGGUCCAGACGCCGACGGGAGGCAGCAGUGGGGAAUAUUGCACAAUGGGCGCAAGCCUGAUACAGCCAUGCCGCGUGUAUGAAGAAGGCCUUCGGGUUGUAAAGUACUUUCAGCGAGGAGGCGUUACUCGCAGAAGAAGCACCGGCUAACUCCGUGCCAGCAGCCGCGGUAAUAC
rnacentral:rRNA from 1 species